rnacentral:rRNA from 1 species
CAGAGGGGGCAAGCGUUGUUCGGAAUUACUGGGCGUAAAGGGCGCGUAGGCGGCCUGUUAAGUCGAACGUGAAAUCCCCGGGCUCAACCCGGGAACUGCGUCCGAAACUGGCAGGCUUGAAUCCGGGAGAGGGAUAUGGAAUUCCAGGUGUAGCGGUGAAAUGCGUAGAUAUCUGGAGGAACAUCGGUGGCGAAGGCGACAUCCUGGACCGGUAUUGACGCUGAGGCGCGAAAGCCAGGGGAGCAAACGGGAUUAGAUACCCCGGUAGUCCUGGCCCUAAACGAUGAAUGCUUGGUGUGGCGGGUAUCGAUCCCUGCCGUGCCGAAGCUAACGCAUUAAGCAUUCCGCCUGGGGAGUACGGUCGCAAGGCUG